rnacentral:tRNA from 1 species
UCCCUCGUGGCGCAAUUGGCUAGCGCGUUCGACUGUUAACUGAAGCAAUUCAUUCUGCAGAUUCAUCGAGAGGUUGGUGGUUCAAGCCCACCCGAGGGAG